rnacentral:rRNA from 1 species
GAUGAACGCUGGCGGCGUGCCUAAUACAUGCAAGUCGAGCGAACAGACCAGGAGCUUGCUCCCCUGACGUUAGCGGCGGUCGGGGGAGUAACACGUGGAUAACCUACCUAUAAGACUGGGAUAACUUCGGGAAAACGGAGCUAAUACCCGAUAAUAUAUUGAACCGCAUGGUUCAAUAGUGAAAAACGGUUUUUCUGUCACUUAUAGAUUGAUCCGCGCCGCAUUAGCUAGUUGGUAAGGUAACGGCUUACCAAGGCAACGAUGCGUAGCCGACCUGAGAGGGUGAUCGGCCACACUGGAACUGAGACACGGUCCAGACUCCUACGGGAGGCAGCAGUAGGGAAUCUUCCGCAAUGGGCGAAAGCUUGACGGAGCAACGCCGCGUGAGUGAUGAAGGUCUUCGGAUCGUAAAACUCUGUUAUUAGGGAAGAACAAAUGUGUAAGUAACUAUGCACGUCUUGACGGUACCUAAUCAGAAAGCCACGGCUAACUACGUG